CCUUGUUUUGCCUAAAAAUCUCGCCCCCUGAUUUUCUUGAGUCCCCCCUCCCCCAUAUAUGUUCAAACUUCGCCACUUGCAACUGAAAGCUACCAUUGUCGUUGCCCACCCACCAUUCAACAAGGCGGCAUAGAUGAUCAUGGAGGAAGAGGAAGAAACGUCGUCACAACCGCGAACUAGGACAACCGCCUUAAACCGAGACCGAGAAGAUGGCCAUGAUAGUUUAGUGGCCGAUUAUUUUGCCAACGAACCUGUGUACACGGCCGUAAUGUUUAAACGUCGGUUCCAAAUGAGUUGUCGAUUGUUCUUACGUAUAACAGACGACUUGGCAUAGUCUGAUCCGUUUUUCACACUUCGAUACGACGCUAGGGGCCAUAGGGGAUUCACCACUUUACAGAAAUGUACGCAUUCUCCCUACGUAACGAGUACACACAUCAAAACUUUCAAGCAGACUUCGUGGAAUACAUUUGGAAUAACGCACAAAACGAACCCAUUGACGACAUGCCGGAUGAAGACUAGUAGUUUUUUUAAUUUCUUUUAAGUUUAGGUUGUUUUUUUAAUGUAAUGUAGGAAUU